rnacentral:rRNA from 1 species
UUCGCCCUUUUCCGGUUGAUCCUGCCGGAAGUUACUGCUAUCGGUGUUCGACUAAGCCAUGCGAGUCAAAUGUUCUUCGUGAACAUGGCGGACUGCUCAGUAACACGUGGAUAACCUGCCCUUAGGUUCGGCAUAACUCCGGGAAACUGGAGAUAAUUCCGAAUAGGUCAAAUAUGCUGGAAUGCUUUUUGGCCAAAAGACUUCGGUUGCCUAAGGAUGGAUCUGCGGUCUAUCAGGUUGUAGUGGGUGUAACGUACCUACUAGCCUACGACGGAUAUGGGUUGUGAGAGCAAGAGCCCAGAGAUGGAUUCUGAGACAUGAAUCCAGGCCCUACGGGGCGCAGCAGGCGCGAAAACUUUACAAUGCGGGAAACCGCGAUAAGGGGACACCGAGUGCCAGCAUUUAUGUUGGCUGUCCACAUGUGUAAACGGCAUGUGUUAGCAAGGGCCGGGCAAGACCGGUGCCAGCCGCCGCGGUAACACCGGCGGCCCGAGUGGUAAUCACUUUUAUUGGGUCUAAAGGGUCCGUAGCCGGUUUGAUCAGUUCUUCGGGAAAUCUGACAGCUCAACUGUUAGGCUUCCGGGGAAUACUGUCAGACUUGGGACCGGGAGAGGUAAGAGGUACUACAGGGGUAGGAGUGAAAUCUUGUAAUCCCUGUGGGACCACCAGUGGCGAAGGCGUCUUACCAGAACGGGUCCGACGGUGAGGGACGAAAG